rnacentral:lncRNA from 1 species
UGAAGCGUUCGGACGCCGCCGCCGCCGCCGUUGAAACCUGUGGUCGCUCACUGACAUGAGGAACCGUGAGAACUGCGACACCACUGCCUGAUUGAAAGACGGAUGCUGAGUGCUUUUUCUACAAAUUUAUAAUCUUCAGCAGUGAGUGGAGUCUGAGUGGAGGCCAGACGCACACUGGCUCGUUUGGCCAUUAACUCUUGCCAGGAUGUGCAGAUGCUGUCGGUUGGUGUUGUGUAUGAGACAAGACAUCUUCAGCUCUAUCAGCUAAAUGGUCAUCAAGUGGCUAUGGGAGGUGUGCAGAAACACUGAAUAUGCUGUUGCUGCAGUAAAGACCUCAAGCUGCUCCACUCUCCAGACUCACCCCUUAAUGAGCUCACGCAGGCAUUUGUCAACAGCACCACUUCUCACCAGCAGCAACUUGGGCUCCAUCCAGAGAGCCAAUGACCUUAAGGAAGCUCGGAAACCCUGGUGAGAGAAUUAGGGCCAACGUGUCUUUCCUCUAACACGGGCUGUUUCAUCUCUGGUUCCUUUCUUAUUGAAACCCAAAGACCAAAGAACAAAAUCACAGAUGAUGUUUUGCCUCAAGGCUCUUGCUUGAAUUUAAUUUUGCAGGUUUCUUUUGCUUUGUGACUUCUGCCUCACUCUGAGUCCAGAGCAGAACCCUUAACAGCCGACAAAGAGCUCUGAUGUUAAAAAAGAAAUGGAGACAGUAUCACACACAUUCACACCAUAGAGGUUCUAAAAAAGAGUGUCACUAACCAUUAGUUAAAUGUCAUUGUGUUUGACUUGUUUGGUGCUAUUAUUAACCAGGGUGUGACUCGUUCCAACCUCCAUCACUCUCCUGCACAAUGAAACACCUGAUGGAAAAUGAUGAUGCGUAGAUUUUACAUAUGUCUUGGAGACGUCCCUGUCAUGGAGGUUGUGCAGCGAAGCCGCUAGUU